rnacentral:rRNA from 1 species
GGGCCCGCACAAGCGGUGGAGCAUGUGGUUUAAUUCGAUGCAACGCGAAGAACCUUACCUACCCUUGAAAUCCUCAGAAUUCUCUAGAGAUAGAGAAGUGCCUUCGGGAACUGAGUGACAGGUGCUGCAUGGCUGUCGUCAGCUCGUGUCGUGAGAUGUUGGGUUAAGUCCCGCAACGAGCGCAACCCUUAUUACUAGUUGCCAGCAUUUAGUUGGGCACUCUAGUGAGACUGCCGGUGACAAACCGGAGGAAGGUGGGGAUGACGUCAAAUCAUCAUGCCCCUUAUGACCUGGGCUACACACGUGCUACAAUGGAUGGUACAACGAGUCGCAAGGUCGCGAGGCCAAGCUAAUCUCUUAAAGCUAUUCUCAGUUCGGAUUGUAGGCUGCAACUCGUCUACAUGAAGCCGGAAUCGCUAGUAA